rnacentral:rRNA from 2 species
GGAGAGUUUGAUCAUGGCUCAGGGUGAACGCUGGCGGCGCGCUUAAUGCAUGCAAGUCGCGCGUGCCCGUGGCUUCGGCCACAAUGGGAAAGCGGCAGACGGCUGAGUAACGCGUGAGUAACCUACCCUCUGGUGGGGUAUAGCCGCGAGAAAUCGCGAUUAAUCCCGCAUAAGAUCUCCAGGCCCUGGUUUGGAGAUGAAAGCCUUCGGGCGCCGGAGGAGGGGCUCGCGUCCUAUCAGGUAGUUGGUGGGGUAAAAGCCUACCAAGCCGAUGACGGGUAGCUGGUCUGAGAGGACGACCAGCCAGAGGGGGACUGAGACACGGCCCCCACUCCUACGGGAGGCAGCAGCAGGGAAUCUUGGGCAAUGGGCGAAAGCCUGACCCAGCGACGUCGCGUGGAGGAAGAAGGCUCUAGGGCUGUAAACUCCUUUUCCAGGGGAAGAGUAAGGACGGUACCUUGGGAAUAAGCUCCGGCUAACUACGUGCCAGCAGCCGCGGUAAUACGUAGGGAGCGAGCGUUGUUCGGAUUUACUGGGCGUAAAGGGCACGUAGGCGGGUAUGCAAGUCGGUUGUGAAAUCCUCUGGCUCAACCAGAGAACUGCAGCCGAAACUGCACACCUUGAGUCCAGCAGAGGGAAUCGGAAUCCCAGGUGUAGCGGUGAAAUGCGUAGAUAUCUGGGAGAACAUCAGUGGCGAAGGCGGAUUCCUGGGCUGGUACUGACGCUGAGGUGCGAAAGCUAAGGGAGCGAACAGGAUUAGAUACCCUGG